UACGUAGGGGGCAAGCGUUGUCCGGAAUCAUUGGGCGUAAAGAGCGCGUAGGCGGUCCGGUAAGUCCGCUCUGAAAGUCCGGGGCUCAACCCCGGGAGGCGGGCGGAUACUGUCGGGCUAGAGUCCGGAAGAGGCGAGUGGAAUUCCUGGUGUAGCGGUGAAAUACGCAGAUAUCAGGAGGAACACCAAUGGCGAAGGCAGCUCGCUGGGACGGUACUGACGCUGAGGCGCGAAAGCGUGGGGAGCAAACAGG
rnacentral:rRNA from 1 species